rnacentral:rRNA from 1 species
GACAGAGGGGGCAAGCGUUGUCCGGAGUUACUGGGCGUAAAGCGCACGCAGGCGGCUGGGCGCGUGUGGGGUGAAAGCCGCGAGCUUAACUCGCGGUCGCCCCCGCAUACGGCUCGGCUCGAGCCCGGGAGAGGUCCCUCGAAUUGCCGGUGUAGUGGUGAAAUGCGUAGAUAUCGAGAGGAACACCUGCGGCGAAGGCGGGUUGCUGGGCUGACACUGACGCUGAAGCGCGAAAGCUAGGGGAGCGAACGGG